rnacentral:rRNA from 1 species
CGAAGGAUGCAAGCGUUAUCCGGAUUUAUUGGGUUUAAAGGGAGCGUAGGCGGUCUUAUAAGUCAGUGGUGAAAUCUCGUCGCUUAACGACGAACGUGCCAUUGAUACUGUAGGACUUGAGUACAGAUGCCGUUGGCGGAAUGUGUCAUGUAGCGGUGAAAUGCAUAGAUAUGACACAGAACACCGAUUGCGAAGGCAGCUGACGAAACUGUAACUGACGCUGAGGCUCGAAAGCGUGGGGAUCAAACAGGAUUAGAUACCCUGGUAGUCCACGCCCUAAACUAUGAUUACUCGUUGUCGGCGAUAUACAGUCGGUAACUAAGCGAAAGCGUUAAGUAAUCCACCUGGGGAGUACGCCCGCAAGGGUG